CAAGUCGAGCGAACAGACGAGGAGCUUGCUUCUCUGACGUUAGCGGCGGACGGGUGAGUAACACGUGGAUAACCUACCUAUAAGACUGGGAUAACUUCGGGAAACCGGAGCUAAUACCGGAUAAUAUAUUGAACCGCAUGGUUCAAUAGUGAAAGACGGUUUUGCUGUCACUUAUAGAUGGAUCCGCGCCGCAUUAGCUAGUUGGUAAGGUAACGGCUUACCAAGGCAACGAUGCGUAGCCGACCUGAGAGGGUGAUCGGCCACACUGGAACUGAGACACGGUCCAGACUCCUACGGGAGGCAGCAGUAGGGAAUCUUCCGCAAUGGGCGAAAGCCUGACGGAGCAACGCCGCGUGAGUGAUGAAGGUCUUCGGAUCGCAAAACUCUGUUAUUAGGGAAGAACAAAUGUGUAAGUAACUAUGCACGUCUUGACGGUACCUAAUCAGAAAGCCACGGCUAACUACGUGCCAGCAGCCGCGGUAAUACGUAGGUGGCAAGCGUUAUCCGGAAUUAUUGGGCGUAAAGCGCGCGUAGGCGGUUUUUUAAGUCUGAUGUGAAAGCCCACGGCUCAACCGUGGAGGGUCAUUGGAAACUGGAAAACUUGAGUGCAGAAGAGGAAAGUGGAAUUCCAUGUGUAGCGGUGAAAUGCGCAGAGAUAUGGAGGAACACCAGUGGCGAAGGCGACUUUCUGGUC
rnacentral:rRNA from 1 species